rnacentral:rRNA from 1 species
CCUACGGGAGGCAGCAGUGGGGAAUAUUGCACAAUGGGGGAAACCCUGAUGCAGCGACGCCGCGUGGAGGAAGAAGGUCUUCGGAUUGUAAACUCCUGUUGUUUGAGGAAGAUAAUGACGGUACUCAACAAGGAAGUGACGGCUAACUACGUGCCAGCAG